rnacentral:rRNA from 1 species
AUGAACGCUGACAGAAUGCUUAACCCAUGCCAGUCAACUUGAAUUUGGGUUUUUAACUUAGGUUUGGGUGGCGGACGGGUGAGUAACGCGUAAAGAACUUGCCUCACAGCUAGGGACAACAUUUGGAAACGAAUGCUAAUACCUAAUAUUAUGAUAAUAGGGCAUCCUAUAAUUAUGAAAGCUAUAAGCGCUGUGAGAGAGCUUUGCGUCCCAUUAGCUAGUUGGAGAGGUAACGGCUCACCAAGGCGAUGAUGGGUAGCCGGCCUGAGAGGGUGAUCGGCCACAAGGGGACUGAGACACGGCCCUUACUCCUACGGGAGGCAGCAGUGGGGAAUAUUGGACAAUGGACCAAGAGUCUGAUCCAGCAAUUCUGUGUGCACGAUGAAGUUUUUCGGAAUGUAAAGUGCUUUCAGUUGGGAAGAAAGAAAUGACGGUACCAACAGAAGAAGUGACGGCUAAAUACGUG